rnacentral:rRNA from 1 species
CUUGCUUCGUGGGGUUUCGAGCCGUCGACCCUCUCGGAGAAGGUCGGUCCUGAACUCCACCCUUGAAUAAAUUACCUUUGUUGCUUUGGCGGGCCGCCUCGCGCCAGCGGCUUCGGCUGUUGAGUGCCCGCCAGAGGACCACAACUCUUGUUUUUAGUGAUGUCUGAGUACUAUAUAAUAGUUAAAACUUUCAACAACGGAUCUCUUGGUUCUGGCAUCGAUGAAGAACGCAGCGAAAUGCGAUAAGUAAUGUGAAUUGCAGAAUUCAGUGAAUCAUCGAAUCUUUGAACGCACAUUGCGCCCUCUGGUAUUCCGGGGGGCAUGCCUGUUCGAGCGUCAUUAUAACCACUCAAGCUCUCGCUUGGUAUUGGGGUUCGCGGUUCCGCGGCCCCUAAAAUCAGUGGCGGUGCCUGUCGGCUCUACGCGUAGUAAUACUCCUCGCGUCUGGGUCCGGUAGGUCUACUUGCCAGCAACCCCCAAUUUUUACAGGUUGACCUCGGAUCAGGUAGGGAUACCCGCUGAACUUAAGCAUAUCAAUAAGCGGAGGAAAAGAAACCAACAGGGAUUACCUCAGUAACGGCGAGUGAAGCGGUAACAGCUCAAAUUUGAAAGCUAGCUCUUUUAGGGUUCGCAUUGUAAUUUGUAGAAGAUGCUUCGGGUGUGGCCCCGGUCUAAGUUCCUUGGAACAGGACGUCAUAGAGGGUGAGAAUCCCGUAUGUGACUGGGUGCUUUCGCUCAUGUGAAGCUCUUUCGACGAGUCGAGUUGUUUGGGAAUGCAGCUCAAAUGGGUGGUAAUUUCAUCUAAAGCUAAAUAUUGGCCAGAGACCGAUAGCGCACAAGUAGAGUGAUCGAAAGAUGAA